GCUCGAGUUUGAAAUAUAUCUAAGUAUGUAAUUAACUAUUGAUACCACUAUAUCAAUGCAAUAGUGACAGUGCAUCGGGCAUGGUGUCCGUUUGGGUAAAUGAGAACAAAAUACAGUUAAUUGAAAUCACGUUCCUUUUAUUUAGGUCAGUUAAAUUAGUUGCAGUAACAUGGAAUUUCGUUAAAAAAUUUGCACUGAUACUGAAGUAUCCAAUGAUAGAUACUUAUGGAUUGUUCACAUGCUAAAACUUCUUAAGUUUUUUUUAUUGAUAGUUUAAAAUGUUUUCAUUAUAGACUUUUAUAUAAAUGCCAAAAAUUAAAUUCACUAUUAAUUGCCAAUUAACAUUUGUUUUCAACAAUUGCCUUAUUCCUACAUGGUGGUAAGCUAAUAAUAAAUUAAUUUUGCAUUUACCGGGACCAAUUAAUAUAAAAAUUGUUUACCGGCAUAUUUUUCUGAAUCUCCCGGUAUCAUUUUUUUUUUUUUUUGUCAUCUAUUGAAAAUCAGUAGAACAAUCCGUAUAAGCGUAAGGACAACAUUUGGCACAAAAACCAGGUGAACCGUAAAGACAAUAUUUUCAUUAGUGACAAAUUUAACAUUUUUAUCUGAAAAUAAUAUGAUAUAAUGAAAAUAUAAUAUUUCACGCGUUAAUAUCUGGCGAUUUUUUGUAACAGUGUAUUCUGCAUUUAACUUGAUCCGGCGUACUCGGUUCUAUUGAAUAAUAAUCAUAAAUAUUCAAUCGAUUUUUAUUUAGGUUACACGUUUAAAAACUUACACAAACACUAGUUAGAAAAAAAGAAAAAAAAUUCAACAUCGCAGUAUACUAAUACAAGUAGUUCACAAAAAAUGAGCAUCACUCGGUUAGGUGAACAACCAAGCGAGGAAUGAAUGAGUUCCUAAGUCCGAUAUUAAUUUUUCGAGACGACCUUUUUAUCGGCCACCUUUAACAAAACAUUAUAUGAACAAGCCUAAAUGUUUUGCUACCUACAUUUUUGCCGUUUCCGGCACACCACCAAAAGCAAAUGGUCUUAUAUCGUGCACGUGAUAAUUAACCGAUAGUAGUGGUUUCUCGUUUCUCAGAGACCCGCGCAAUGAAUACGAACUUUGCUGUUCGGUAACCGGUAGGUAUAAUAUAUAUAUGGUUGUUAUUCAAUUUACCGAUUUUAAUCAGCAUAGUAUAAUGUAUAAUACUCGAAUAGUUUUCGGUCAUUGAUUCCGCUUUUUAUAUACUGCCGGCAAGUAGCAAUCGGCAUGCGCCGGGUCAGUAGUGCUUGGCAUUACAGCGGCAGCUGCGGUCGGCGCGGCGGUCUCC